rnacentral:rRNA from 1 species
UACAGAGGAUGCAAGCGUUAUCCGGAAUGAUUGGGCGUAAAGCGUCUGUAGGUGGCUUUUUAAGUCCGCCGUCAAAUCCCAGGGCUCAACUCUGGACAGGCGGUGGAAACUACCAAGCUGGAGUACGGUAGGGGCAGAGGGAAUUUCCGGUGGAGCGGUGAAAUGCGUAGAGAUCGGAAAGAACACCAACGGCGAAGGCGGGUCUCUGGGCCGAUACUGACGCUGAGGAGCGAAAGCGUGGGGAGCGAACAGG